GAAGCGGUAGUGGGGAGGGAGCAGGGGGGUAGGGAGGAAAUCCCCCGGGUGACGUUAGCCUAGCACGUCUUAUCAGCCGAGCUUAGAGUGGCAGGACAGUGUCCAAUCAGAAGGCCGGAACGACGCGAAGCGGUCAGGCGGGGAAAGUUAAGAGUAAAUGAUGACUAAAUGUUACAUCAGCGUAAGAUGACACCAUUAUCUGUGAAGAGAUGGUCGUGUGGGGAAAAUCCCACCCAGAAAUGCUCAGACCAACAACAAUGCCACAUUUAACAUCUCUUCACUCCCCUUGUUUCUUCAUUCUGAGGAUCAGUUUGAACUUCGAGGGGGCAUGAUGGGAAACAGACAUCGACAGCAUGGAAGGCAGUGGCCGGCCACUAACCGAUAACCUGCAAUCAAUCAAUACUCAAUUAAUAAUAACAAUAUACUUCUAAGUACAACAUGAAGGAGAAGAAUACACGACGGUGCUGCUGUUACACCAGAGGUGUGGGAACGUCAGCCAUUAACAGUCCACAGCACAAACGCCCCUGUGAUCACAUCAGAACUGCCCCGAAGAAAACAAAAACAGUAAAAAUAAUAAUAAUAAAAAGAGCAAUAAAAGCAGUAAUAACACCUUUGGAAUAAAAUAACAAAUAAAUAUAAAGCUGCAGACUGAAAGGCUAAAUACUGACACCCAUCUGAAUUGGCACAAAGAAGAGUUCAGAAGCUGUAAGGCAAAAAUCAGAACUAGAGGAGUUUUUACACAGAAGCCAGUUUCUCUUCUUUGGACAGAAUAACUGAUCCUAGACCAGCACCAGCAUCUCACUGCUCUGAAACUACAAACCGCAUCAGGGGCUGAAGCGGAUGCCUAUUUAAACUUUAUUUAAAUAGUUCAAACCAUGCAGCAAGUACCCAUUGUUUUUAAACUGCAGUUCCUCAACUGGCCACUUGAGGCUGCCUACAACAGUGAGUCUCCAUAGACUCCCAUGUUAAAAUGUCUGAGUGUACAGCAGAAACAAACAUGUUCACGCCCUGGUCCACAACAUGGGUUUGGUCUCUGUGGCUAAUUUAAACCUUUAUAAAAACUGUAGUGGGGUGAACUUAGUUAUACUUAAGUUGUCAGUAUUAGAGGCGUCCCUACUUUGAUUGGCAGAAGAAUCUCUACAAAGACGUUACAGCCAACAAAUUUAAAUCCAAUGAGUGAACCAAAUUGACAGUUUUCAUGUAAUAAAAUUAUCUUAUACAUAUUA